GCGCCUGUAGCUCAUUUGGUUAGAGCAAUGGUCUUAUAAGCCGUAGGUAGAUGGUUCGAGUCCAUCCAGGCGCA
rfam:Candidatus Magasanikbacteria bacterium RIFOXYD2_FTLL_41_14 rifoxyd2_full_scaffold_337, whole genome shotgun sequence.